UAGACGGGUCGGGGGUCGGGAACGGGCCCCACCGUAGGCGACGAUGCGUAGGGGUUCUGAGAGGAAGGCCCCCCACACUGGGACUGAGACACGGCCCAGACUCCUACGGAAGGCAGCAG
rnacentral:rRNA from 1 species